rnacentral:tRNA from 14 species
GGCGAAUUAGCUCAGUGGUUAGAGCAGCGGAAUCAUAAUCCGUUGGUCCCCAGUUCGAAUCUGGGAUUCGCUACCA